rnacentral:rRNA from 1 species
UACAGAGGUUGCAAGCGUUAAUCGGAUUUACUGGGCGUAAAGCGUGUGUAGGUGGCUUGACAAGUCGGUUGUGAAAUCCCCGGGCUCAACCUGGGAAUUGCUUCCGAGACUGUCAGGCUAGAGAUCGGUAGAGGGCGGUGGAAUUUCCGGUGUAGCGGUGAAAUGCGUAGAUAUCGGAAGGAACACCAAUGGCGAAGGCAGCCGCCUGGGCCUGAUCUGACACUGAGACGCGAA